UCGAGGAUCUUCGGCAAUGGGCGCAAGCCUGACCGAGCGACGCCGCGUGUGCGAUGAAGGCCUUCGGGUUGUAAAGCACUGUCGAGGGGGAGGAAAGCCCGCAAGGGUCUGACCUAUCCCUGGAGGAAGCACGGGCUAAGUUCGUGCCAGCAGCCGCGGUAAGACGAACCGUGCGAACGUUGUUCGGAAUCACUGGGCUUAAAGGGCGCGUAGGCGGAUUGCCAAGUCCGGGGUGAAAGCCUCCAGCUUAACUGGAGAAGGGCCUUGGAUACUGGUAAUCUCGAGGGAGGUAGGGGCAUGCGGAACUUCCGGUGGAGCGGUGAAAUGCGUAGAUAUCGGAAGGAACGCCGGUGGCGAAAGCGGCGUGCUGGACCUCUUCUGACGCUGAGGCGCGAAAGCCAGGGGAGCAAACGGGAUUAGAUACCCCCGUAGUCC
rnacentral:rRNA from 1 species